rnacentral:rRNA from 1 species
UACAGAGGGUGCAAGCGUUAUCCGGAAUUAUUGGGCGUAAAGAGUGCGUAGGUGGUCUUGUAAGCGUGGGGUGAAAGGCAGUGGCUUAACCAUUGUAAGCCUUGCGAACUGUAAGACUUGAGUGCAGGAGAGGAAAGCGGAAUUCCUAGUGUAGCGGUGAAAUGCGUAGAUAUUAGGAGGAACACCAGUGGCGAAGGCGACUUUCUGGACUGUAACUGACGCUGAGGCUCGAAAGCGUGGGGAGCAAACA